rnacentral:rRNA from 1 species
AUACAUGCAGUAGAACGCUGAAGAGAGGAACUUGCUCUUCUUGGAUGAGUUGCGAACGGGUGAGUAACGCGUAGGUAACCUGCCUUGUAGCGGGGGAUAACUAUUGGAAACGAUAGCUAAUACCGCAUAACAAUGGAUGACACAUGUCAUUUAUUUGAAAGGGGCAAUUGCUCCACUACAAGAUGGACCUGCGUUGUAUUAGCUAGUAGGUGAGGUAAUGGCUCACCUAGGCGACGAUACAUAGCCAACCUGAGAGGGUGAUCGGCCACACUGGGACUGAGACACGGCCCAGACUCCUACGGGAGGCAGCAGUAGGGAAUCUUCGGCAAUGGGGGCAACCCUGACCGAGCAACGCCGCGUGAGUGAAGAAGGUUUUCGGAUCGUAAAGCUCUGUUGUAAGUCAAGAACGGGUGUGAGAGUGGAAAGUUCACACUGUGACGGUAGCUUACCAGAAAGGGACGGCUAACUACGUGCCAGCAGCCGCGGUAAUACGUAGGUCCCGAGCGUUGUCCGGAUUUAUUGGGCGUAAAGCGAGCGCAGGCGGUUUGAUAAGUCUGAAGUUAAAGGGCUGUGGCUCAACCAUAGUUCGCUUUGGAAACUGUCAAACUUGAGUGCAGAAGGGGAGAGUGGAAUUCCAUGUGUAGCGGUGAAAUGCGUAGAUAUAUGGAGGAACACCGGUGGCGAAAGCGGCUCUCUGGUCUGUAACUGACGCUGAGGCUCGAAAGCGUGGGGAGCGAACAGGAUUAGAUACCCUGGUAGUCCACGCCGUAAACGAUGAGUGCUAGGUGUUGGAUCCUUUCCGGGAUUCAGUGCCGCAGCUAACGCAUUAAGCACUCCGCCUGGGGAGUACGACCGCAAGGUUGAAACUCAAAGGAAUUGACGGGGGCCCGCACAAGCGGUGGAGCAUGUGGUUUAAUUCGAAGCAACGCGAAGAACCUUACCAGGUCUUGACAUCCCGAUGCUAUUUCUAGAGAUAGAAAGUUACUUCGGUACAUCGGUGACAGGUGGUGCAUGGUUGUCGUCAGCUCGUGUCGUGAGAUGUUGGGUUAAGUCCCGCAACGAGCGCAACCCCUAUUGUUAGUUGCCAUCAUUCAGUUGGGCACUCUAGCGAGACUGCCGGUAAUAAACCGGAGGAAGGUGGGGAUGACGUCAAAUCAUCAUGCCCCUUAUGACCUGGGCUACACACGUGCUACAAUGGUUGGUACAACGAGUUGCGAGUCGGUGACGGCGAGCUAAUCUCUUAAAGCCAAUCUCAGUUCGGAUUGUAGGCUGCAACUCGCCUACAUGAAGUCGGAAUCGCUAGUAAUCGCGGAUCAGCACGCCGCGGUGAAUACGUUCCCGGGCCUUGUACACACCGCCCGUCACACCACGAGAGUUUGUAACACCCGAAGUCGUUGAGG